rnacentral:rRNA from 1 species
AUUGAACGCUGGCGGCAUGCCUUACACAUGCAAGUCGAACGGCAGCGCGGACUUCGGUCUGGCGGCGAGUGGCGAACGGGUGAGUAAUACAUCGGAACGUACCCUGUUGUGGGGGAUAACUAGUCGAAAGAUUAGCUAAUACCGCAUACGACCUGAGGGUGAAAGUGGGGGACCGCAAGGCCUCACGCAGCAGGAGCGGCCGAUGUCUGAUUAGCUAGUUGGUGGGGUAAAGGCCCACCAAGGCGACGAUCAGUAGCUGGUCUGAGAGGACGAACGGCCAGACUGGGACUGAGACACGGCCCAGACUCCUACGGGAGGCAGCAGUGGGGAAUUUUGGGCAAUGGGGGCAACCCUGAUCCAGCAAUGCCGCGUGUGUGAAGAAGGCCUUCGGGUUGUAAAGCACUUUUGUCCGGAAAGAAAUCGCGCUGGUUAAUACCUGGCGUGGAUGACGGUACCGGAAGAAUAAGCACCGGCUAACUACGUGCCAGCCGCCGCCGUAA